GGACGAGAUACAAGAAAUCUGGAAAAGUCCUGCCUGCUGGCAUCAUGUCAGGGCUAAGUUUGUUGAUGGUGUUUCGACUGUUACUACUCCUCAUGGUGUGACUGGAGGAAUAACAGUGUCCAGACUGAGGGCUCUCAUCGAACAAGCCUUGUUUUAAAGGAGACGGCAUUCCCAGUUACCGCGCGAGAACGAGCCCUCUCGGUUGUGUGGGCACUUAACUUUCAUGUGACCAGCAGCUUUGCAACAGCUACCAGUGUGUUUAACAGAUUAAAUAUUAACUUCUAAUCUUAUUCCAGUAAAUCUGUUCUUAAUAAAUACAUGUUUUGAUUUUGUAUACAAGCAUGUGCAUGAAUGUCAAUUUAAUGAUUUGAGACUAACAAUUAUGUACAUGAGUUUUUUGGGUGCAAUUGUUUGUGCUGGCACGGCGGUUACUGUAUACACUACAACUUCAGUUUUUGCAGGCUGCUACUAUCAAUGUUAGUAAUGUUAAUUUUAAAUUAC